rnacentral:rRNA from 1 species
UAGUCCACACCGUAAACGAUGACAGCUAGUUGUCGGCAGGCAUGCCUGUCGGUGACGCAGCUAACGCAUUAAGCUGUCCGCCUGGGGAGUACGGCCGCAAGGUUAAAACUCAAAGAAAUUGACGGGGGCCCGCACAAGCGGUGGAGCAUGUGGUUUAAUUCGACGCAACGCGCAGAACCUUACCUACACUUGACAUGCCCUGUUUGGUUUCCAGAGAUGGAAUCCUUCAUUUAGUUGGCAGGUGCACAGGUGCUGCAUGGCUGUCGUCAGCUCGUGUCGUGAGAUGUUGGGUUAAGUCCCGCAACGAGCGCAACCCUCAUCCUUAGUUGCCAUCAGGUUUGGCUGGGCACUCUAAGGAACUGCCGGUGGCAAGCCGGAGGAAGGUGGGGGAUGACGUCAAGUCCUCAUGGCCCUUACGUGUAGGGGCUACACACGUGCUACAAUGGGCAGUGACAAUGGGGAUAA